AACGAACGCUGGCGGCAUGCCUAACACAUGCAAGUCGAACGAAGGCUUCGGCCUUAGUGGCGCACGGGUGCGUAACGCGUGGGAAUCUGCCCUUUGGUUCGGAAUAACAGCUGGAAACGGCUGCUAAUACCGGAUGAUGACGAAAGUCCAAAGAUUUAUCGCCAGAGGAUGAGCCCGCGUUGGAUUAGGUAGUUGGUGGGGUAAAGGCCUACCAAGCCGACGAUCCAUAGCUGGUCUGAGAGGAUGAUCAGCCACACUGGGACUGAGACACGGCCCAGAAUACUAGGGGAGGCAGCAGUGGGGAAUAUAGGAAAAUGGGCGCAAGCCUGAUCCAGCACUGCCGCGUGAGUGAUGAAGGUCGUAGGGUUGUAAAGCUCUUUUACACGGGAAGAUAAUGACUGUACCGGGAGAAUAAGCCCCGGCUAACUUCGUG
rnacentral:rRNA from 1 species